ACUUUUGGGGUCACUUUGUAAAAACACAAAAGUCCACAACUUCAUGUAAUUACAACUAGAACCCAAAAAUUUCAAUAAAUAUAAAAACUUCAUUAAAGGAGCAAAACAAUUUGUCCUUUAGCGUUUUUAGGCCUUAACGUCAAAACGUAAACUUUCGGGUCAAAAUACAAAUACACAAAAGUAUCAAAACUUUAUGUAAUUGCAUAAAAGCCCCAAAAAUACCCUAUUUUAAUAGGGUGGCCGGUUUUAGGGAGAAAAGAGAGAAAAGAUAAGUCCACAAAAAUUUGGAAAUUUUUUCAACAAAUUCAUAAAACCUUGCAAGUGGAACCAGGCAAGUGGAAAUAAGUUGGUGUGUGUGUAAGAGAAGUACUUCUUACGCAUCCAUCAACAUUUCUAUCACCUUACACAAUUUCAAUCACAUUAAACAUUUGAUAAAGCACAAAACAAAGACUUUAUGAAAUUAACCAAAACUUUGAAUCAAAACACCAAACUUUAUGUUCUUGGCAAGAACAUCAAGAACAAUGAAGAACAUCCAUGAAAACCCAUAAGAGCUCCAUGAACAUUUUCACUCAAUAAAACUCAAAUUUUCAUCAGUCAAAAUGGGGCUAACAUCCUAGAGUACUUAGGGGUUCCAAAAGUCACUUUAAAACACUUUUAACAAGUCAAACAAGAACCCAAAAAUCCACCCUUUGGAUUUGGCCGAAUUUUCCCAAAAACAUGGCACCAAAUUUUAGCUCCAAUAUUCAUGCUCAUAUGAACUACAUCUACAACAUUUGAGAUGGCAAAUUUUCUAACAAAAUUUACAUUCAAAGAAACAAGAAUAAAGCUUGUAACAUAUUACAACUUUUAAAUUAAAGACUAUGAACUACAAAACCCAAAAGGAUUCACCAACUACUAGACCUAGGCUCUGAUACCACUUGAAGGAUAAUUUUGUGAAAACAUGUUCAUUUGAAUAACAUCUAUAGUAUGCAAUUAACAUUUAAAAGGCGGAAUCAUGCUUGCAUGCACUCAAAAACAAAACAUUACCCAUGAAAUUCAAAGCCUAGUAGAUUGGUGAACCUUGAAUUAACUUAAAACAACAUUUGUUAGUUGAGAAAUUAUACCUUUGUAGAUUCCUCUUUGCAUAAGCAAAGGCU
rnacentral:lncRNA from 1 species